rnacentral:rRNA from 1 species
UACGGGGGGGGGCAAGCGUUGUUCGGAAUUACUGGGCGUAAAGGGCGCGUAGGCGGCCUGUUAAGUCGAACGUGAAAUCCCCGGGCUCAACCCGGGAACUGCGUCCGAUACUGGCAGGCUUGAAUUCGGGAGAGGGAUGCGGAAUUCCAGGUGUAGCGGUGAAAUGCGUAGAUAUCGUGAGGAACACCAGAGGCGAAGGCGGUUACCUGGACAGCUUACUGACGCUCAGGCACGAAAGCAUGGGGAGCAAAAGGG